UCCGGUUGAUCCUGCCAGAGGUUACUGCUAUCGAGGUUCGACUAAGCCAUGCGAGUCGAAUGUAGCAAUACAUGGCGUACUGCUCAGUAACACGUGGACAACCUGCCCUUAGGUUGGGUAUAAACCCGGGAAACUGGGUAUAAUCCCCUAUAAGUCUCGGCUGCUGGAAUGCACCGAGAUUAAAAGCUCCGGCGCCUAAGGAUGGGUCUGCGGCCUAUCAGGUAGUAGUGGGUGUAGCGUACCUACUAGCCUACGACGGGUACGGGUUGUGAGAGCAAGAGCCCGGAGAUGGAUUCUGAGACACGAAUCCAGGCCCUACGGGGUGCAGCAGGCGCGAAAACUUUACAAUGCUGGCAACAGCGAUAAGGGAACCUCGAGUGCCAGGUUACAAAUCUGGCUGUCGAGAUGCCUAAAAAGCAUUUCAUAGCAAGGGCCGGGCAAGACCGGUGCCAGCCGCCGCGGUAACACCGGCGGCUCGAGUGGUAACCGUUAUUAUUGGGUCUAAAGGGUCUGUAGCCGGCCGGAUAAGUCUCUUGAGAAAUCUGGCAGCUUAACUGUCAGGCUUUCAGGAGAUACUGUCUGGCUCGAGGCCGGGAGAGGUGAGAGGUACUUCAGGGGUAGGGGUGAAAUCUUGUAAUCCUUGAAGGACCACCAGUGGCGAAGGCGUCUCACCAGAACGGACCUGACGGCAAGGGACGAAAGCUAGGGGCACGAACCGGAUUAGAUACCCGGGUAGUCCUAGCCGUAAACGAUACUCGCUAGGUGUCGGCCACGGUGCGACCGUUGUCGGUGCCGUAGGGAAGCCGUGAAGCGAGCCACCUGGGAAGUACGGCCGCAAGGCUGAAACUUAAAGGAAUUGGCGGGGGAGCACCACAACGGGUGGAGCUUGCGGUUUAAUUGGAUUCAACGCCGGAAACCUUACCGGGACCGACAGCAAUAUGAAGGCCAGGCUGAAGACUUUGCCGGAUUAGCUGAGAGGUGGUGCAUGGCCGUCGUCAGUUCGUACUGUGAAGCAUCCUGUUAAGUCAGGUAACGAGCGAGACCCA
rnacentral:rRNA from 1 species